GCAUAUCAAUAAGCGGAGGAAAAGAAACCAACAGGGAUUGCCCCAGUAACGGCGAGUGAAGCGGCAAGAGCUCAAAUUUGAAAAGCUGGCUCCUUCGGGGUCCGCAUUGUAAUUUGUAGAGGAUGCUUCGGGAGCGGUCCCCAUCUAAGUGCCCUGGAACGGGACGUCAUAGAGGGUGAGAAUCCCGUAUGGGAUGGGGUGUCCGCGCCCGUGUGAAGCUCCUUCGACGAGUCGAGUUGUUUGGGAAUGCAGCUCUAAAUGGGUGGUAAAUUUCAUCUAAAGCUAAAUAUUGGCCGGAGACCGAUAGCGCACAAGUAGAGUGAUCGAAAGAUGAAAAGCACUUUGAAAAGAGAGUUAAAAAGCACGUGAAAUUGUUGAAAGGGAAGCGCUUGCGACCAGACUCGCUCGCGGGGUUCAGCCGGCAUUCGUGCCGGUGUACUUCCCCGCGGGCGGGCCAGCGUCGGUUUGGGCGGUCGGUCAAAGGCCCUCGGAAGGUAACGCCCCUAGGGGCGUCUUAUAGCCGAGGGUGCAAUGCGACCUGCCUAGACCGAGGAACGCGCUUCGGCUCGGACGCUGGCAUAAUGGUCGUAAACGACCCGUCUUGAAACACGGACCAAGGAGUCUAACAUCUACGCGAGUGUUCGGGUGUCAAACCCGUGCGCGAAGUGAAAGCGAACGGAGGUGGGAACCCUCACGGGUGCACCAUCGACCGAUCCUGAAGUCUUCGGAUGGAUUUGAGUAAGAGCGUAGCUGUUGGGACCCGAAAGAUGGUGAACUAUGCCUGAAUAGGGCGAAGCCAGAGGAAAACUCUGGUGGAGGCUCGUAGCGGUUUCUGACGUGCAAAUCGAUCGUCGAAUUUGGGUAUAGGGGGCGAAAGACUAAUCGAACCAUCUGGUAGCUGGGUUCUGCGA
rnacentral:rRNA from 1 species